CUUGAACUUUUUGUGAGUUUAUUUAUCGAAUGAGUGAAAAUGUCAGAGUUAAAUUUCGAUUAUAAACAUGAAACUUUAGUCCGAAAGCUCAGAGAGAGAGAAUUAAAGAGGACAAAAGUGCCAGGAUUGCGUUUGUGUUUUUCUGGCCUGGAUGUCAACCCCGCCCACAGCCAGAUCUGAUCUGCAUAACCCCGCCCACAGUCAGAUCUGAUCUGCAUAACCCCGCCCACAGUCAGAUCUGAUCUGCAUAACCCCGCACCCGCACCCUCUCCCUGCUGCGGUCCUGAGGUGGUCCUGAGGUCCUGAGGUGGUUCUGACUGCUCUGUACUCCACACUGAGAACUCUGAAGUGUCCCUCUGCAGGACGCAGACGCCGUCUGGAACACGCUUUUCCCCGACUCUGGAGUUCCUCCGUCACACACUUACUGCAGGUUACUGAGGUUCCUGGAGGAGACGACGCCAGUGUGACGCCGGUGUGACGGCGAUGUGACGCCAGUGUGACGCC